UGCAGAAAGCUAUUCUGUACUGUAAUGUCAGUGUCACGCAAAGAAAAGAUGAAUUCAAUAGUCUCACAUAGCCAGAUCUAUAGUCUAAAGUCUCAAAUAUACGUUAAUCAAACAUAACAGUGCAAUUUCAAUUACCUCAUCUGUCGACAUGAUGACGGUGAAUUGCAGAGCUUUUGCAAACAUAUCCAUCGCUACGAUCCUUUAACUGCUGCUGUCAUCUUUGUUGUGUUUAUUUUGUUAUUGAGAGGAAAUCGCGCAUAUAUUUACAUAUUCAUCUAAACGUCGCUCUCAGCAGUGUGGACGGCCUGCAAAGUCAGAGAUGGAGUGUAGAUGAGAGCAGACAGGUGUCCUGGAGCUCUUCACGCAGUAGUCGUGCGGACUAAGGAUCAGACAGGGGUUCAGAUCGCAUCGACCCGGCUGCUGGAGCUGCAUGCUCGGAGAGGACAGGGGGCCUUUGGCUGACUCAGCACAAACAGACGCACACCAGGUGUGAGACCAGCGUUAUGAUUCACCACACAGAGGAGCAGCACCAGCAACUUCUGUCUCACGCUAUUCACACUUCCUUGUGGAUGCAUUGUCCUGCAUUCAAGACAAAUCUCCAGCUCCUAGAAUCCCCUUCCAACGAGUCUAUGCUAAAACCAAGAACCAUAUAUACCCAUCAUCCUCUACAGCCUGACUGCAGUCUAAGCAACAUGUUCAGGUAUCAUUCUAUCUAUACACAUCCUCUACUGUAGAUGCUGUGAAUGUACAGUGAAAGUUCAGGUUGUGGCAGCUGCUCGAGUUUCCCACACAUCUUCAUUCUAUUGAAAUAAGAAGUGAUUGUACAGCAGAAAAUGCAUUUACGGAGAUUUCUGCGUUAUGGAGUUUCACAAGCAUUAAGGAAGCGCCAAACUGUUCAUUCCUUUUAAAACAGGGUUCUGCUCCACAGAACUAUUCAUUUAUUCAUCAUGUAAUAAAG